AAGAGACCUGAGACUGGCAGUUGAUGACUUAGGCACACACGCAUUAUGUUUACUGGGGCCAACAUAAUCAGUCCUUAGUGCAACUCAGGACAGGGAAACAAGUAAGAACUAAGGACUCAUGUAUUCCUAAUUUUCUUCAACAAAUUAGACAAUUUGCUGGGCAAAUGAGGAUGGUAAUUGAUGCCAUGUGUAGGGACCUUAUAGGUGGUUCAGGUAAAAUACCUUCAGCAACAGAAUUAUGCAGUGACAUAGAUCUGGCAGGACAUCUCUAUAUGUUAGAAAUGCAAUAUAACUACAUAGUGUUUCAACGUAAGCAAACACACAAAACAGCAAAAACAUUUCUGGGAACUUUACAUAAUAUAGGUGAAUAUAUGUAUGAGAUACAAUUCAGAAAAAUAAGGAAUCACAAAUUAUCUUUUACUCUUGUGAAGUCCUAUCUAAGAAACUUCAUUUCCUACACAUUUAAAAAAUCUCACAUUUGGACAAUGUCAAAAGCAAAUUUAGAAAUAUGCCUGAUAAAUAUCUCAUAUUAAUUGCACUCAGAAUGGCUUUCUCCAGUGUGAACUCUCUGAUGAUAUUGGAGACCACUCCUCCAUGUAAAAGAUUUCCCACAUUCACUGCAUUUAAAAGGUUUUUCUCCUGUAUGAACUCUCUGAUGACUAUGAAGGUUGGUGUUAGUGGUAAAACUUUUCCCACAUUCACUGCAUUGAUAAGGCUUUUCUCCUGUGUGAAUUCUUUGAUGA